rnacentral:lncRNA from 1 species
CACUUUUCCAUGAACCUGGUGAACUAAAACCGAACAUAUAUUUGCAGACAAGGUGAACUAAAACUGUGAAAAACUGAAUUAUAUUCCUAUUUUCCGCAAGUAUAUAUGUAAAAUUGUGUAACAGGACAUAGGUUUGCCCAAAAAAGGUGAAAAAGAGAACGUUUGACCUGGGCAAUUUCGAUAAAGGUUGGUCCCUCCCUCGCUGUCAUUUUCAAUAGCCAACAUCACAUUUCUGAUCUCAUUGUUUUGGAUUAUUGCACUCCUGCUAUGAGUCCAGUCGGUGCAGCUGCACUGAGAUGCAAUAAUAAUCUGAGUUAGAAUCCCAAUAGUAACUUUAGUGGUUGCGUACUUAAUAAUAAUAUUGACAUGUGAAUACUGUUGAAAGUUGAACACUUUGGUUCAGAGCGUGCAUGUAACGCCAGAGAUGAAAGAAACCAUCUAUCUUACCUCACCUUGGUCCCCUCCCCUCCCCUCUUCCCCUAUUCCAAAUUGGAUCGUACGGAAUGUGGAGAACCCCACCAAAAAUCUAUGAUGGUAAAAGUUGUUGGAUUUGUCUCAGGAGCCGUGCCCCUCAUGUGCCGCCACAGCCAGAGUCUUUUGAGGAGGAGCCUCCGCAGGUAAUGAUAUCCAAAUGGAUGGCGACUUGACAACAGUGUCAGAUGAUUUCCUCUUCAAUCCCACCCAUUCCAACAAGCCCAACAAUUUUUAAGAAAUAAUAAUAAUAAUCACAGUUCCCUUUCAAGUUUCAGCCCCUCAACUUUCACACUUUUGAGGCGAAAGUAUUUACCCUUGGAUGAUAUUAAUCUCGAUGGGCUUUGUUUAAUUUUGUCCUCCUCAACUCGAUGAUCUUUGUAUCCGAGCUGUCUAAUUUUGGGUGAUCAAAACUUACAGCAAUGUUAGUAAAAGACCUUUUUUUUUUGUCAAUCAAAGCAUAAGUGAGAGAUUAAUAACUAAGUUUCCAUAAGUUUGUACACAUGGCAAGAAGUUAUACGACGGGUACACUAUGUGAACCAGAAGAGACACAUACAUAUAUAUACGUAUCGUCUACAGGCCAUAAAUGUCAUAUACUUGGCAGAGGCAAAAAAAAAACAAAACAAAGGCUGUUUAAGACCACCCGUACCCCAUAAAGCAGUGCACUGCACUGCACUGCACUGCACAUCAUAUACUGUAUUACUGCGCUUCUCUGCUCAAGAGAUUGAGGCCUCUGGGAAAGACAACAAGCAUCGUUCCUUGAAAGUCAAGAGGCUUUUGGGAGAGCAGCAGCUCAACAGAGUGAGGCGAGACCUGGUGGGCUUGGGAAAGGGAAAGAUGAGGCACAAAAUAGGGAGGGUAGGGAGGGGCACGUACACUUUGCUCAUGCAGAUCGGGACAUUCCUCCUCCUUCCCAUGCACCUGAGAGCAAAGUUUGGCAGUGGCUCGCAAAUCCCGGUUAAUGCUAAUGCAGGUGGUAACGUUUCGGGAGGCUCCUAUCUGCACAGUUCAGUGCACACCCUUCGCUGCUGUUGAUAUGAAAGUGAUAUCAAACUCAAAAGGAAACAAAGACGACAGCACCAGCUUUUUACUGCAAUGGCUAUUUGUUUACAUCCCACGCGGUUUGACCCUAAUGUACAACGGACAAGCUGUUGUUCCCUGUUAUUUUUUUCCCUUAUCAGAAGCUUGCCUUUUCACCUCAUGGGUGGGACAGUUAUUUAAAAGACUUGUUCUCGAGGGAAAUCUAACACACACAAGAUACGUAUAUCAGUAUGUAUCAUUCUACUUUUGAUGUAAUACUCGGCAUGAGUAUGAGGAGGUUGUAACAGUGUCAACUAAUCCUUCGCACCAGAAGAACACAGAUAUAUGUGUGUGUUACUUGGCAGAUGUAUUUACUGCAUUUCCAAUUUUCCCAUGCGGUUUCUAUGACUAUCUAAAUCAGCUUGUGUGCUCAAAAGUGGUCAUAUGCCAACACAUCAACUAGUACGUUCAAAGAAGCAAGGAACCCAAGGUUUGAAUAAUGCUUAUUAUGUGUGUGGUGACAAUAGGUCAUAAGAUAAAAGAUGUGAUGAUCAAUGUUUCAAUAUAACAGUAGAAAUGACUCUCGCCUUUGGCGCUGUGUGUGGUAAUACUGAGCUACCUUGGUCAUGUCCUUUUAAUCAUCUGAUCGAUCAUUAUGGUAUCAUUUUCCACGAUUAUCCCCCUUGAUAGUGAUGAUGAAAUCAAAAGGAUAGCUCUAAUAAGGACCCACUGAAUCCUAAUAAUUUCUCUUCGGUUUUUUAGUUUUCCAUGCAGUGCUCAAAACAUCUCUUCUUCUAGUUUCCUAGUUCUGAAAGUUUUGUCCAUCCUUACCAUAACAUAUUCUAUAAAACUUCAAGAUUGGUCUACCAUGAGUUUACAAGAAUAAUUAUAAAAAGACAGAUAGAAGGAGGGGGAGAGAGAAAGAGAGAGAGAGAGAGAGAGAGAGAGAGUUUAGACUUGUUGUUUUCUUAUUGUCCUGCUCUGCUUGUUGUGAACCUCCAGAUACACUGUUAUAACUAAAGAUUUAAAAGGGAGAUGAGGUAGAAGGAAGAGGGAUGAAGUGGUAGGACGACAGCAGCUUGGCAAAGCGCCGAGAUGCCCGAUGGAGGUACAGAGACAGGUGCUGGGCAAACAUCCGGCAACGAGAGACACAAAGAGGACGGAGAAGGAAAGAUUUCGAAGUCACGUGAGACGGGCAAGGAAAAGCUUCCCCUUCUCUCCCGUUCCUUCCCGUCUCUCCCUAUCACACACCCCCCACACCAACACCCCCCCCCCCCGUCCACGGUCCAGUCUCGACUGUCAGUCAUGAGGCAGUAGCUAUUCUUAGAAAUCUAUCUAUCACAUCUCAUUUACUCAGCCCCACUCCCCCCUUCCCUCCGGUGGAUAAAAGGGAGAAAAAUUGGUGGGUGGACGCACCAGCAAGGAAAGAACCAUGUCAAUUUCAGAGCUGGGACCACAUUAAUGUAUUGAGGAAUUUGAUGAGAGGUGAUCGGAACUAUGGCUAUGCAGACUGCUACAACUUGUCAUCCCCAUAACCCAAUCACCAUGUAAGAGUAGAAAACAGUACUCCCAUCAUAUCAGAUACAAGAUAUGGAUCUUCGCAUCAGAGGAGAAAGAAAAAUAAAAAAAAUGUAGUAAAAGAGAGAGAGAGAGAGAGAGAGAGAGAGAGAGAGAGAGACAGAGACAGAGAGAUCGAGGAAGAAAAGAAGUCCUGGAGCUCAGGUUCGUAUUGAUGGCUUUCUGGUAGAUAACGAGGCUAAUCUGAAUCGAACCCGAUCCAACCAAAUCGACAGUACCACCCGGAUUGGUCAAAUGUAGUUGAGAGCGCAACGGCACCCCGAAGCUGAAGGUACAACUCCGUGAUGGCCCUAUGAUGCAGAGGCUCCAUCUUUAGACCAGAGACCUACCACACCCCUUCUUAACUAAAUAUCCAAGCAUCACUUUGUAAGAGGUGCCCUUGUCCUUAUUGUCUUCCAGGGGAUGAUCCCCUUGCUGUGAAGGACACCAUGCUGACGUGGUACACCCACCACCGCCUCCCCCCCCAUUCCUUCUCCUCAGGGAUUCAGUGGAGGGGGUAGAGAGAUGACAGAUGGGUGAGUGAGUGUGUGGGGCUUACAUGGAACCUUGCCUCGAAAUUAUUCAAGCAGCACGAGGGCUGGGUUAGAAAGCAAUGAAGCAAUGUGAACGGGGAGCAACGUAGGGUUUGUAGGGGGAGGAAGAGCCAAGGCAACGUCCCUCUCAACACUGCUCCAAAGCCCCCAACAAAUAAAGGCUACUGUUGCUGAUCCCCCAAAGCCGAAGACACUCGUCUUCUAUCAGUCACAUUAACCAAGGUGCUCUUGCCCCCUUGCAUCGCAUAAGAAAAAAGAAACGAGGGACAAGAGGGGACGAUAGAGAGAGAGAGAGAGAGAGCGAGAGUGUGUGGAGAGAGAGAAAGAGACGGCUGGUCAAAUGACAAACUGAUUGAGAACUUUCAAGCACUUUCUCUCUCCACCCCGCUUUAAAAACACAGCCUUGUCUACAGUGCAGUAGCAAACUGCAGUUUUUGGUCUCAAAGCACCACACCCUCUCGUCCAUCUCCUUGGCUUUCAUUUUUUGUUUCCCUUCAGCUGGACGCUUCUUGUUCCGCUUUCUUCUCCUUAGCUGCAAUACCAUGUAAAGUUCUAUACCAUCCUUUAAACUUCUCUUACCUAUUCUCGUUUGAUGAUGAAGAACCAUGAUGAGUUGGGUGCAGGAGACUAGAAGGGAACCCGCUAGACCUCAAUAGCUUGCCAGAGGAACAUGGUAAGCAACCGCUAGAGGAAAGCUCGAUGACUACUGCAGCUUCCGCUGACAUUACGCGUAAGUAGGAAUCGACAAGGAAGAAAGUUUAAGCAGUGAUGUGAUCUAGAUUGGAACAUUUGUCUAAUGAGGACUGAGAAAUUGAAUACAACAGAGGGGGGAAAGAACAAAAACAGAGAGAAAGAAAAGUUAUUGCCAUUAUUACUCGCCACCUAACCUGAUCCAAAGAUUGCAGGGUUCAAGAAAAAGAAGAGUGCAGUCAAGGAUGAUUCGGCAAAGGUGUAUGAGUGUCGUUUUUGCUCCCUCAAGUUCUGCAAAUCUCAAGCGCUGGGCGGGCACAUGAACCGGCAUCGCCAAGGCAAGACGAUGACCGCAUAGUAGUGUUGUUGCACCAUAGAAAGCGUUGAUGUGACAUUGUUGAUGAGUAUCUUCUUUUUACCACUUCUUCCCCCAUUCCCGACACUAGCAGCGCCUACUGACUCAUGUUCCCAUUUUCAACUCUUUCGUUAGAGAGGGAGACGGAGACGCUCAAUCGUGCUCGUCAGCUGGUGUUCAGCAACGACGGUGCCAUCGGGUAUGUGCUGUCUCCUCUCAUUCUAUCCUUCCUCUCUUAGCAUGAGUAAGCUAGGGUUUUCAUUCUAUCUACGUGCAACACCUCUUUUCCUCCUUCAGUAGUAGUAGUACAUUGGUAGGCUGCAACGUAAUAUCAUCUUAUAUGGCACAGUUUAGGGCUAAAGAUGUCUCCUUUCCUUGAUUCAAAAACAUUGGCAUACCACUGAUCUUGUUCGUCCCUUGAAUAAUAAAAGCUUGAGGGAUCCUAGUACUGGAGGCUCACAAAUCCCUCCUGGGGGCUUCCAACAUAGAGGCGGCAGCAUCGGAGAAGCAUGUGUGCAAUUCCAACCCGUCUACCCAGGUCUCCCAAACCCGCCACCAGUGUCACAGUACCUGCACCCUUCCUCCUCCUCACGCUCGCUUCCGCAUCCACCGGCCUACCAACCUCCUCAUCCGCAUUACUACAUCGGUCAUGUCAUCUCAGGGAGUUCCCAACGCCAGCCGCGUCACCACGGCUAUAGUCCUGAUCCCAGCUUUACUUGCUAUGGAGCUCCAGUUUCUCAUAGCUUCCCCCCCGUGGAAGAAGGACGAGCACCAACAGUCAGAGGCAACCAACUCAGAUGAGAGCGUAACUGGGAUCGUAGUUAGGGACGUGUCCACCAUAACUUGCAUUGUUGAGUGAACCGUCAGCACCAGGAAUGGCCUUAACUUAUACAUCUUAAUUUGAUGGAAAGAAAAUGUCACGAAGAAUGACAACCUAAGUGAAAAGUUGUGUGGUUCAUGUGCUGUUUCUCUAACUUGCGUCUUGGUUUUUGACACUGAAGGCUGUGAAACAAGGGGUUGAUGUUAACUUCCAUGGCGGCACUGUUCUCUCUCUCUCUCUCUCUCUCUCUCCAGUUUGGUCAACUUACGAUGUGAUGCAGUUGUUAGAUGAAGGUUUGUUGGGACAAUAGGAGAAAUGGCCUAGAGAAUGAAGGCCGCAAGAGUUCCAACCCACUUGUGUAUUAUUAUUAUUAUUUAACUCCCUUGCCUUUUUAGUUUUUCGAGCAUGGCUUGUCCAAGCUUAAUUCUCCUAAGAGUUUGUGGGUGCUACCGGACACUUUAAUCGGUGAACAAAGGUUUACCAAAUAGGUGAUAAGGGCAAAGCCACCUACCCUAUACUUGCAGCUUGAGCAGUCUGUCGACACAUCCUACCAAGAAACCAAACCAAACGAGAUAAUGGUAACAAAGGAUAGCUUCUCCGUCUUCUCUACUACUGCAAGGCACGUGACCACUAGAAUCCAGGUCCCAAAUCAAUUUACUAUUGAAAAGAUGUCAUGAUUAUGGAUUGGAGGAUUCCUGCUUCGACUACAUGAAAAUUUUCGAUGAUAUCGGUCGGCUAGAGAGUUUAUCUUUUGGGCUACCUGCCUUUGUUGCCCAAUGCAGAGGCUCCCACCAAUAAGGGUGGUCAACGUUAGUAUGCAAUCCUUUCUUUUCUAAGACAUAAACAUGUUAUUUCUGCGGAUCGAACCUUUUGUUGCCAAAGUCACAUGGGAAUAACUUUCCCAUUGCACUAAAACUCCCCCUCCUUAUCUCAACUAGAUAAUUUGUUUCAUUAAACAAUUUAAUACUUCAAAUUUUCACCAGCCUAUCAAUCAAUCAAAAUUUUUCCUAUGUCAUCUUUUGGAUUGGAAGGACCUCAUGCAAAAUCCAAUGGGACACCAAAACCUGUCUGUUUGCGACCUACAGCAACUGAUGCGAGCGAACACAUGAUUUUGCAUAUAAGGCAAACAAUCAGUAGUUCAGGGAACUCUUAACAGAAAGCUAGAGGAUAUUUCGGAUCAUAAAUAAAAAGUACAACUUCAACUUCAACUACAGAAAGUUGAGACUUCACAGUAAAUAACUAACAAAAAAAUUUUAAAAAUAACCUUUUGAAGAAUGCAUGCAUUUACUUUUAUCCUACAAAGCUAAGGAAUAACUAAAUCAGCACAAUAGCUCAUGAGCUUCAAUUUAAAUGCACCAAACGCUUUUAGACACGUAUAAGAAUGCAUGCAGCAGUAUCUUCACCUAAUUCUAUGAAUAACCAAAAUGGAUUUCUUUAAAAGACUAUUAUUAACCUUUUAGCUCAAAAGCUGUAAUGCUCAGCCAAAUUAGACGGACAAAUAAGACCUUUGGCUUUCGGUCUAAUUGGAGUUCAAUUGUUUCUACUUCUUUUCCACAAGUAGAUACGGUCUAAUCUCGGUGUUAGCUUUAACUUCUACCAUAUGCAUGCUAGCAGACACUAAUAUUAUGUCACUGACCCACGAUGAAAACACAAGUGCUACUAUGAAAUGACAUUGGGAAAAAUGAAGAAUUAGCUUACUUGCAUAGCCAACAAGCUGCAACAAACUGUACACUGCUAUUCAUCGAUGAUUUCUGCACAGGAAAAAUGGCCAUUCGUUUAGAAAUUUCAGACCAAUUUCAUCUUGCUUUUGCGGUCUCAUUUUUUUUAUUAGACGAAGGAUAAACAAUAUGCAAAUACUGUUGCAACAGCGGAAGUGAAACUGUCAGAUGUUAUUAAAACCAUGGUAUAAAUUUGUUCCUCAAAUGGUGAACUUUUCGGAGCUUGUAACAGAAUAUGAUAAAAAAGAUGAAUUUGUUCCUCAAAAAAGGUUUCCAUUUUUUAUUAUUCUUUCAUGUUCAACAAGGAUGUGAUAUAUCAUGACAUUAUAUGAUGGAAGGACUGAUGCAUUAAUCUGAUAGGCCUGAAAUUAUAUGACUCAAAAUGCCUAAAUUCAACUUAAUCAUAAUAAACUUAAGUAGCUCCAUGUAAUAAUCAUGUCCAUCUUCUUCCCACUCGAUCAGAUAAUACAAUCUCCUCCACUAAAGGUUUGAGGUCCUUGACACAGCUCAAACCAAUGUGAAGUCUAGAAUCAUCCUAGUAGGGUAUGUGAGGUUUAGUCCACUGGUGGCCGCGUGCUAUGAUAAAUGACAAGACUUCACAUUUGGUGCCUAAGAGGAGGCUUGAUCAUACCAAUGCUACAUGCACUUCAGAAAGAGAAGAAAUAGCUCACAAUAAAUAAUAAGGUCGUAUGGUUUACGUAUGGCUCUGGUCUGUCCUGACAUAGAGCUGUUACACUGCAGCUUAAGAUCUGACAAGAUGAUCUAUGAAUACUUUUGACAUGGCAAUGACAAAGAUUUUGUGAUCAAAUAAUGCACAGAUCAUAUUCAUGUAGACCUAAUCAUGUACUCUUUAAACAGAGUAAUCAUUCUGACAGGUGUCACAAUGAGCUUCAAGUGUCGUCUCAUCAGAUUCAUCUUCAAGUGGAGAAUGAAAUCAGUGGAAACUUCACGUCAAAAAAAUGAAAUCCGUCCGCUAAAGGCAUAUGUCUCAUCCGAGCUUGCUUUCAUCUCAUAUAAAAGUUGAUCACUAAAGUAUCGAAAUCAGCCACAUCGGGUGGAACUUUUAGUGGCAGAAAGACCUGAAAGAAGAAACAUUUACUGGUUCUGCUCUAGCUGUAAUGCUGGGGGCCAACAAGACUUUGCAUAGGCUAAAUCAAUAUAUAUAUAUAUAAAGGUAAUUGAGUUCUGUUUAGCCCAUUUAACCUAUAGUUGCAUUACCCUUAUAGUUGAAACCAUUGCAAAUAAAUAGUACUUCACUAGUUACAAGUAUGUCUUAUCUAAAACAUGACUUAGACUAAGUCAAUCCACUGAGGUAGAGCUAUAGAUUAGAACCCUUAAUCCCUACCACUAAAAGAGUCAUCUUGAGCAUGCUAUGCUGUGACAAAAAUAGAAGAAUGUGAAAAACAGGAUGAGAAGGAGCAGAGGAAACAUGGGUAUGCACUCUUUCAUUACCCUUUCUUCAUUUCAGCGUAUACAUUUAUUUUCCUUGUGACAAAUUGGCCAGCACCAGGCAGCAUACUGGUAGUACCCGCAUAUAGAACUAAGGGAUGCAUUAACAUUAAGACAAUCUUUGUUAACCAAUUUAGAUAUAUCAAUUCAUUCAAUAUAUCUCAAUUGAAAAGAAAAAGAAGUUGUGCACAAGAAAGAAAGUUGAGAACCAAUUUAGAACAAAACUUACUUCUGUGUUUAAGAUACUCUUCCUAUGGAGGAAUCUUUUUUGGUCUAACGAUCCGAUUGACGUAGUGAGACAAAGAAAAUAUCAGGUCUAAGUGAAGGCCCUCUUGUCCAAAACCUCAUUUAAGAGAGAAAGAAAUUUGUGUGAUUUCAAAUCCAGGCUCGUCUGGGAUUUCGUCAUUAAAAAAAGGAUCUGGUUACUGUUUUAACAUUAAGCAUGUCAAACCAGGUCAACUAAAUUUGGUUCUGGGCUGGGGACAAGUCACAUGUUGUUCCAUGCUAUUUUCUUGAGGAACUGCAGAUUGCUUAUUACUGUUAAUUUUACAAAAUUUGGUCUUGGGUCCUAUUAAUUAAGGCUAUCCAAUUAUGUAGAUCAAUGCCAUACAUCAUAUUUCAACAAAAUCAAGUUCAGUUUGGGUCAUCCAAAAUAACCAUGUUUGAUGUCUGACAAGAAAUGUGUUCAAAGUCUAGGUUGAAUCCAGAUAUGUUUUUGGCAGUAGUAAAACUUUACAAAGUUUUUCAAACCCAAUCCCAAUCUGGACCUGGUUUUUUGCCAUCUACUCUUCUUGUCUGGAAUCAAGAUUGAAAGUGAUUUGUGAUUGAUGUUUUACCGAAUUAUCCUCAUAUAUCAUCCAUCAUUCAGUUCCUAAAUUGCAAAAUCUAUUAUAUAAUCAACCUAGAAGUGAUCCACUUAUCAAUCUAGAAAAUGUCAAAAACCCAUGUCCUAAAUUUGCAAAACAAAGUAGAAAAAUCAUGCAAAUUCUAGUGUUAUAUGGUUCUUGCCUUUACAAACGAUUCAUGGAUUGUUAGCUAAUGAACACCUUUACAAAGGAGCAUAGAAAAUCACCAACAAAAAGUAAAAGAACAAAAACUGAUUAAUCGAAACAAAGAUGUCAAACACUCAAUUCAUGGACUGCCAAAUAGCACAUUUCUAUUAGCCCAGGAAUGUGUGUAACGAUCUGGUGAUACACGCUACAUAAACAUUAUUUCAACAGCUAAUUCAAGAAACCCAAACCCUAAAAGAAGUGUGACAAAUAUCUAAACAUCAACGCAAAUUCAAGAAUUGCCGAUAUGUUUUCCAUAGUUAGAAGAAUUUGAAGUUAAUUGAAGUCGAUAAACACAUAUUUGGGAUCAUCAGAUUGAUGAUUGAGGAGUUGUCAAGCAAAAUACGAUCGUUUUAGUCCGAUCGCGAAAUCAGGAUAAUGGUAUUCCCAUUUCCAAGCUCGCUCUUUCCAAACCGAAGAAUUCGAUGAAAUUAUGUAAUGGUGCACUCCAAUUUCCUUUUUUAUUUUCUUCUUUUUGUUCCGAACAAGCUGAAAGCCCAGAAUUUGAGAUGAAAUGUCAUUCUGACAUUAAGAACGAAUUGAUAAUAUGAAGCAUGAAUUGGAGUGGCGAAGCAUAUGGUAUAGCAUCCCUUAUCACGAACAAUGAAGCUAACGAUUUCCCAUUUCGAAUAGAAAAUACACGGAUCAAACCAAAGAACGAGAGAGGUAAUUCUCCUACCGACCUGGAACAAGCGGCCGUCGGUUCCCGGCAAGCGGGUCCUCGAAGGCGUGGCAGAAACCUCGGCGCUCGCCGGCCUCCCCACGAAUACAUGAUACAUCCUCUCCGUGAGCCGCCCGCGCACACUCCUCAAGAACACUUCCGUCUCCAUCCCCAUCACCACAGGUCUCCCGAAUCGAUUCUCUCUCCCCCCGUUCUCCCCUGGGCUUGCUCUUCUUGUUGGUCG